GUAGGUGGCAAGCGUUGUCCGGAAUUAUUGGGCGUAAAGCGCGCGCAGGUGGUUCUUUAAGUCUGAUGUGAAAGCCCCCGGCUCAACCGGGGAGGGUCAUUGGAAACUGGGGAACUUGAGUGCAGGAGAGGAAAGUGGAAUUCCACGUGUAGCGGUGAAAUGCGUAGAUAUGUGGAGGAACACCAGUGGCGAAGGCGACUUUCCGGCCUGUAACUGACACUGAGGCGCGAAAGCGUGGGGAGCAAACAGGAUUAGAUACCCUGGUAGUCCACGCCGCAAACGAUGAGUGCUAAGUGUUGGGGGGGUUUCCCGCCCCUCAGUGCUGCAGCUAACGCAUUAAGCACUCCGCCUGGGGAGUACGGUCGCAAGACUG
rnacentral:rRNA from 1 species